rnacentral:lncRNA from 1 species
GCGCUCCCGGCGGGGAGGCCAGCUCCAGCGGAGCCCGGCGACACGCCGAGCCCCAGCCCCAGGAUUCCGCGGACUGGAGCGCAGCGCCGGCAGCCGAGUGACUUUCACAAAGGACAUUUCAGCCAGAUCAAGGGAGCAGAUGGCGCUGCAUGAGGCCUCCUGCAGGAUGAGGAUGGGGGGAGGCCAGGCUUUCCUGUGAUUUGUUCCCGUACCUGAAAGAGGGCACAUGGGACAGAGAACACCAGUGAAUCAUGUCCUCCGUCCACUGCUGGCUGCAGGAGAAUCAGGGCUCUCCUUUCUGAGCAGAUGCACUACAGCGGACUGAAGUACAUGAUGGAGCUAUGAGUAUGAGGCUCAGGUCUGUUCUCAAGUCCUUGUGGAGUGGAUAGAAUGCAGGCUCCAGAGACCAGGAGAUCUGGUUCAAAUCCUGCCUCCACUCCUUACGUCUUAGAGCUUAUCUGUGCCUCAGUUUCUCUUCUGCAAAGCGGGGGUUACAGUACUUAUAAUACUUAACUCGGAAUUGUUGAAAAGGUUAAAUGAGAUAAUGCUGUAUCCAUUAGGAUUCUCUUGGUAACAAGGGACAGAAAAUCCAACCCAAGAUACCUUUGGGCAAAAAAGAAUUUGGGGGCUCACCUUAAGCUGAGAUGUCCAGGGGUGGUAAGAGGGUUCUGCAUUCAAUUUCCAACAUGUAAACCUAGUGCUUUUGGGCUUUUAUGGAGGCUUCAUAAUAUAGGCAUGAUUAAUGAAAUCAUUGCCCAUUAAGGAUUGAACUCUGUCUCCAGCCCCUCUCCCCUUCCUGGAGGUCAGGGGGUAGGACUGGAUGUUCGAACCCUCCAACACAUCAUUGGCUCUUCUGGCAACCAACCCCCAUCCUUAGGUGCUUUCCAAAAGUCACUUCAUUAAUAUAAUGAAAGACACCUUUAUUGCUCUCAUCACUUAGGAAAUUCCAAGGGUUUUAGGAGCUAUGAGCCAGGAACCAUGGGCAAAGACCAAAUAAUAUAUUUCUUAUUAUAAAUCACAAUACCACAGGUGGAUAUGGCUGGAUUCGGGGUUCAAAUGUCAAAAUCAGGACUUGGCUCCUCUCUACUUCUUGGUUCCAUCUUUUGUGUUUUAACUUUGGUUUGGGGUUAAUGUGGUAGCAAGAUGACAGCAUUAAUUUUAGCCCCUGUAUCCUUUCAGAAUCUCCAAAGAGAAUCUCUUUUCCAAAGGUCCUAACAGAAGUCUCGAUGACUCUGACUAGGUCACGUGACCAUCCCUGAUGCAAUCAUUGAGGUCAAGGAGAAUGAGAUGCACUGAUUUGCUUAGGCAGUGUCGCUGGAUCUACGUGGACUGAGAGGGUGAGGGAAGGGGUGGUUCCUUAGAGGGAAAUUGCAGAGGGAGUUGGGCAUGGUUAUCAAAAUGAAGGUGGACAGUACUGGUGACAAAACUGAAAAUGCUAACUAUAAUGCUUAGUGAGUAUUUGGGUGCAUUAUCAAAGCUCAUGAAGUGGUAAUUGCCUUCUAUCUUAUGGAGCAUUUUUUAUUCCUUUUGAAAUAUAUUCUACAUAUUUGAUCUCAUAAGAGUCCUGUGAGACAGACAGGAGGACGGGUAUUAGCUUCCCAUAUUACAGAUGAGGAAAUCAGAGCACAGAGCAGAUAAAGACUUUGCGUACAUUCACAAAGCAAGGUGGUGUGGACUUGGCCUGUAUUCCCACAGAGACAUAACUGGGUCUGAAUUUCCUGGGAGAUCCACUGGAACUGGUAGCUGGGAUAUACAGUGUAUGGGAUUUAGAUCAGCUGCCCGGGUUUGUUCCAGAGUAAGCAGUCUAGACUGGCAGCUGCCUGCGUGGGUCAAGUACCCAUUGUGGAUGCCCUGGCAGGUAGCGACGGAAAGAGCUGGUACAUAGGCCAAGACACUGCCACCCCACGAGCCCCCUCUCAUGAACGAUUCUCUUUACACCAAGAAACUGGCUACAGGACUUAGUUUUCCUCGUCCCAGAAAAAACUGCUGGUCCAACAAAAGGAGGUUGAGGGGAGGUGGCAGUGCUAGUUGAAGGGCUAACUUCUCCCAAGGGAAAUUGGUCCUGGAGCCAAGAGAGGCCUUUGCCAAGAGAUAGAGGGAGAGCAGAAUCCUCUGGGCAAAUGCGGGUGGUGUGGCCAGAGCUCUCAGGAUCCUCCUAAGUAUUGUUGGGAUCUCCAAAGAGCCUUCCAGAAAACAGCACCCCUCUGCCGCAUCCAGGUUCUGAACACAUUGAACAAAAAGACAAAGGAAUGGCAAAGAGCCAAAGUGCCACCUUAAUUAUCACUAAAGCUAGCAUGGAGGAUGUAGCUUAGUGUGAGAACAAAAUUGGCUUCCUGACUGAGCCCUGGAAGAAGGAUAGAGCAGAGCAGAUCCUUGCCCAUAGCAUUCCCAAAUUUUCUAAUCAGAUAAGUUAUUCCAUUGCUAUGAGCAGUGAGAGUAAGAUAAAAAGGAUGUUUAGGGAAAAUCCCUCUUCGUGGAAAGCAGAAGCGGGAAAGAUGUGACCUUGGCAAGUUAUAAAUCUUUCUGGGCAUCAGUCUCUUCUUGGGUAAAAUGGACAUGUUAACCAUACCUCCCUCCCGAGGAGACAGCGGGGAUUCAAAGGGAUAAUGUAUGUGACAGCCCUGGCAUAUAGUAAUCACUCAGUAAAAGCUGGCUGUCUCUGUGUGCAGUCCAGGUUGCUGGCAGGUGGCUUUGCUUUCUUCUCCAGCACGAAGCCCGGGGCCCUCGAGUCCUGCUGUGCUUGUGUAUCGCUCCUUCUCUCCAGCUGUAAAAAUUCAUGAGACCGUGGGUGUGCAGUGGCUUUUCAGUUCCUGGCUUCUUCCCAGGCUGUGUUCUCCCACUUGGGGGGCAGGGGGAUGGCAGACAUCCUCUUCACAGUGGUGAGUGCCACCCCCCCAUGCCCUGUUCCAGCAGAGCCUGGCUCAUAGUUCAAAGCCGAGGUGGCUUUGUUGAGUAAUUCGGUGACACUGCUUCCCCAGCAGUCAUCGAAGGGUAAGUCUCACUCCCACACACCCAUUUGCUGAGCAUCUGCUGCCCUGUGUUUUGUGGUGUGGAGGCUGGGAACAGGCAUACCGCCCCAACUGACCGCGGUAAGGCUGAGCUUCCUUCCUCUCCCCGCUGCCCUUGGGCUCUCGGUCUCACACACAGCCCCGCUCAGUGAGGUUUCAGAUCCGCUCCCAGGCUGGCUGGCGCUGACUACAUCUGGAUUCACACCAACCUCUUCCUCCUGGGGGUUCAGAGUGUUCUUGGAAGGAAGCCUGGGAAGGGAAAGGCCUUCCCCAGCAGUCCCCAUCCAGCACUUGGCUGACAGCAUCGAACCCAGCUGCCAAGAGCUCUGGAGUCAGGCAGACCUGGGUUCAAAUCCCUGGGUGACCUUGGGCAAGCUGCUCUCUCUGCUUCAGUUUCCUCAUCUGUGAAAAAUGUGACAGUAACAGGAUCAGCCUCAUGGGAUUCUUGCCCUAAUUCAAUGGGAUACUAACUGUGAAACACUCACCCCAUAUCUGGCACAUGGGACAUGCAUGAGACCAUCGGGGGGUCCUCCCACCUUCCUAUGGGUGUACUCACAAGGAGGACGGGAAAACCACCCUGUUUGGCCCACCCCACCUCCCAAGUUAGACCCCUGUUGUAGCUACUCUGAUGUGACCAAACUGAUUUGGUUUUAUGCAAACUCCUUUUGGGCCAGGCCUCUGUCUCAUUUGUCUUGUAACUCCCAUGCCUAGUGUGGUGCCUGCCUGGCACUUAAAAAGCAC